AUAUCAAUAAGCGGAGGAAAAGAAACUAACAAGGAUUCCCCUAGUAACGGCGAGUGAAGCGGGAUGAGCUCAAAUUUAAAAUCUGGCGGCCUCAGGUCGUCCGAGUUGUAGUCUAGAGAAGCGUUUUCCGCGUUGGCCUGUGUACAAGUCCCUUGGAAUAGGGCGUCAUAGAGGGUGAGAAUCCCGUCCUUGACACAGAUCCCAAUGCUUUGUGAUACGCUCUCAAAGAGUCGAGUUGUUUGGGAAUGCAGCUCAAAAUGGGUGGUAAAUUCCAUCUAAAGCUAAAUAUUGGCGAGAGACCGAUAGCGAACAAGUACCGUGAGGGAAAGAUGAAAAGCACUUUGGAAAGAGAGUUAAACAGUAC
rnacentral:rRNA from 1 species